rnacentral:rRNA from 1 species
UGGAAUUGCGCNAUGGGCGAAAGCCUGACGCUCCCCCGCCGCGUGGAGGAUGAAGGCCUUCGGGUUGUAAACUCCUGUCAGUGGGGAAGAGAAUGGACGGUACCCACUGAGGAAGCUUCGGCUAACUACGUGCCAGCAGCCGCGGUAAUAAAA